AAUAAUUUUAUUGUGUUGUUUUUCCAUAAUUAAAAGAUGUUUCGCAAUAGCUUCGUAUAUGUUUCGCAAUAGCUUUGUAUAACCUAAAAGACGAUCGCAAUAGCUUUGAAUAACCAGCAAUGUCAUAAAAAGAUGUUUUUGUGUUAUAUGAUGUCGUGCAACGCCAUUUGUUGGUAACAAAGAAUAGUGUGGCGUCAGGCGGGAUGAAUUGGCCACUCACCCCUCCUUCCCCACACGCUUAGAGUAUAAAAGGAGAACUUUAGAUACUCUCGGUAGAGUCUGCUGCGGGUUGCGUACGGAUGCCCAGCCGGUAUUGAAGCUGCUCUCUACCUGGAGUGUUGGCUCUCCCUCCUAUUGGCGCACGCUUGGUGGGUGCUUGUUGAAGUGGGAGCUGUUGAUUGGACGACCCUCGACGGGAGGACGCAGAGAUGGAAGACAUCCGGCGCCAAGGAAUUGGAAAUGACUGGGUCAUCUGCCUCCUUGCCAUUGGUGCCAUGGUCCGACCCUCGUGGGGAAUGACCGAAGGUCAUGUGUGCGAGACAAGCCAGUUCAUCGGGAUGAGAUGGAGAAUCUCGGUCAACAUCCCCUGUGAUCUUCCCAUGAUGAUCCACCACGAGAGUGAUACGGGGGAGUAAGGUGACAGUCUCCGCUUCCUGCGUCAUGUGUAUGUGGGAUUUGGACGAAUGGAGAUAUUGGGGGUGUCAAGCUGAUCAUCGAAGAAACAAUGACGCCAAAAAUAACUCAAACACACUUGACUCCAAUCCUUGACACCUGUACACACCUAGCUCAAGCAGUGGUUGAAACCAAGAUAUACUGGACAAUUCACUUUCCCCCGAUUCCGAUAUGUAAUAGAAUAAAAAGGGCAUGGUAUGAUACUUUGUUGGGGGGAACGGGAACCGUAUUGGGAUUGGCAAAUACUGCUGAUAAUGAGGUAACUAAGACCAUGCUGUCCAAUACUGGAGAACACUCUGCCAGGGCCUUGCAUCAAAUAGGGGUUUGGCUUCCUAAAGCUCUGGUGGGACAAAAAAGAAAAUGCAGAACUUUGGAAAACAGUGUUUAAUUGGGAUAUCAAAUUAUGGGACGAAGCAGAGAAAGUGCUUCAGAACUUGACAGAACAGAGUAGCUGGACAGUAUGUAGUAUUCAAACUCUACACGCUGCGGCUCAAAAGGAGUCGUUUCUAAGGAUAGUUACGUCGGGAAAUUAUCAAGAGUGGCGGAAGUUUUGGAACAUUUCUGACUCUUUGUGGUUGACAUUACAUCCCGAACACACCAAAUGUAACAAAAAUAAAUGUACGGGGUAUUGGACCCAGUACAACGUGACGACAACAAAGGUGGUUUGUAAAUAUCAGGUUUUGCCUGUUAUAACGACAAGUGGAUAUUGGUUUUUACACAUGGACGGAGAGUGGUUUGAACCAAAAACCAACAAAACCUUUAAAUCAGAUUUAUGUGAUUUAACAGACCAAGGGUUGGCUUGCAGAUUACAACAUGCGUACUCGAAUCCGUGCCUAACCGACUCAGAGGUUGUACUUUGUGAUUGGACUAGGGAGCCAGCCAGAGAGAUGAUGUGGCAAGUUGGACCGCAUACUCUCUGUGUGGCUACAACACAAAAUAACUCACAAGUACCUUCGGUUCUUUUUGUAGGAUGCCUUCAAGAUGUACACAUAUGGCGCUGGGGAAACAUGACGUAUCGUUUGACUAACUAUUCGGAGUCCCGCAGGUUGACUGCGGUCCAGUGGGAGGUACUACGCUCCCCCUGGUCAGUGUCUCUGGAACGAUUCAAAUGCGCAUUGGAGAGUUCUACAGACAUCCAAAAACUCAUCAAGUCACAUGCGUCUAACAUUUCCAGUCUCAUGGUGUCAACUAUGGUAGUAAAAGGGGAAGUAGUGCAUGCCGCUAAAUUAGUCUCAUCAUUGGUGGGACAUCUUCACAGGAAUGUCCUCCACUGCGCGUACUACUUUCUUGCCACCCUUGAUCGUGUUAAUGAUUGUUAUUUGGUGUGCUUACGCUAUGCAAUAUGGGAACUUGCUAUUAUGUGCGACGCACCAGGCUUGAGGUAGAGAAGGAAAUAUAUAAUCGCCUAUAAUCAAUUGCUUACAUUUUGAAUGAUGGAAAAACAUCAAGAGUGGAAUGAAGUAAGAAUAAUUUUAUUGUGUUGUUUUUCCAUAAUUAAAAGAUGUUUCGCAAUAGCUUCGUAUAUGUUUCGCAAUAGCUUUGUAUAACCUAAAAGACGAUCGCAAUAGCUUUGAAUAACCAGCAAUGUCAUAAAAAGAUGUUUUUGUGUUAUAUGAUGUCGUGCAACGCCAUUUGUU